GGGCUUGACCAUCCAAUCAACGUCGUCCAAAUUUUCUCAAGGUUCCGUUCAAAGUUCAAAAUAUACAGAGGAAGUGAAAUGAUGCUGCGUUUAAAACAACUGGGAAGUCGAAAAAAAAAAACACGAUGUUAAAUCAUGGCGUCAGUGAUCUUUAGGUCGGAAAGUCUGAGCUCUAGGGAGAGACCUGACUUCCCGAAUUGCAUGACCAUUCAAAUCGAUUUUUUCCCCAGUCAGAGCAAUUUUUUCCCUCCGAGUUCCCAGGAAAUCGGAGAAUUCCGAGUUUCCAGUUGAUUUGAACGCGACAUGAGCAACCAGCAGGAAAAAUGACUUAGUGUUAUUGAAUUUUGACAAAACAAAAAUUAAAUAUAUAGCUAUUUACUAAACAGGGUAAGAUCUAUUUUAUAUAACGUUAGCCUAAUACAAUUUGGAAACCCAGCUUUGUAGUAACGUUAACUAGCUAAUAAUGCUAACUUUAGCUAGCUGUUUUUUUUGUUUUGUUGUCUAGCUGACUUGCUACUGAAGCUAGCUAGUUAAGUGCUUUUGCAAAAAUUUUACAAUGUCGGAGAGACCGCAAUGUUUACAAAUAUCUGCUGUCGAAAACCAAAUGCAAGUCUAAAAUGAAGGGGAGAAUGUUGCUUUUUUAAAUUUUUUUACAGUGGACAAAUUGCCUGAUUGAUCUGAUGAGAAGUGUGUAAUACCUUCAUGUUUCAAGCAGACCACCGUAGUCCCUGUGCCCAAGAACACCAAGGAAGCCCGAUCUGCGUCCUCUUCACGCAAAUGACGGGGAUCUGUGCCUGUUCCCGGGAGAGCAGUAUACCCUUCUCGUUGGACUCGUUAAAGGAGAAAGCUUCUUCCAGUUCGUGGUAAUUCACUAAGGAUACAGUUACAAGGCCCACCAGCCCCUGCCAACAGUGGUCUAAACAGUCGCCUUGUGAUCUGUGAUCUACAAGGCUGCCAGUGCUGGACCGUCUGAUCCAAAUUUGGAAUUUUGGAUGGCCCCACCCCCAUCGAGAUCUAAGGAGAAUGAGAAAUGGAGCGACAUAAAGAUGUCUAUAAAGUCCAGGUUUGGUCACAGUGUUGUGGCUCCGCCCAGCAAGCCAAACUUCCAGCCCUUUGUGGAGGAGUCGGAUCAGCCUCCAACCAUGACACUGUAAGAUCAACCCAGCGGUGAAUUCGGUGUUGUCUGCACGAAAGCCCUGCAGGGAUGAGACUCCUCUGAACAGACUGCAACAACAGCAACAUCAGCAGCAGGAAGAGGGGAAAGCUCAGAAGCAGAGCAUGUAUUGCAAGGACCUGUUGCUCAUUGUCGCCUCUGAGUUCUGCUUUUAGGAACUGAGGGCAGAAAGCUACCACCAGAAGAAGGCCUUGGAGUCAGGGGCAGUGUCAAGGAAGAGCAAGGGGGCUCUGGUCUUCCAAACUGACACCUUUCCACCUGAACAUUGACAUGACAUUUCCAUGUUAGAUUGUUUUUUAUUUAGGUAGCAGACUGCCAGUAUCAUCUGUUAUGUCUUUGUUGUCUUUCGUCAUGUAUGUAUUUUACUGUUUGUGAUGUGUGUAUAUAAACUGCAGUUGGAACGGCAUAGGUCACACCAGUCAUAGCCAUAGAUCACUAUCUAGGCUCUGGGCCACACAGUAUCCCAGAGGGAAAAAUCAUCUAAUGUAAUUGGAUUGAAAAGAGUUGUGUGAGAAAAUGGUGCUAUGAUUUGAGAACUGAAAUACUGGUGGUUGUUGUUACUGUAUAUCCUUGGAUAUUCUGCAAUAAUUGGCUGUUGAGACUGUUCUGUAAUAUAUUUUCUUUCAUGGCAAUUCACUACAAAACUGUAUUCUACAUUUUACAUUCAUUCCACUAAUAUAUUAUGUUUGGAAAAGGGCUUUAGAUAACAUGCCAUGUUCCGUCUGGUUCCUCUCUCCAUUAUUUCUUUGCCUUCUUCACGUUACCUCUUAGGAAUUAAACUUUCAGUACCCCAUGUGGUGAAGGUAGUGUAUGAGAAUGACAGAGAGAAAUCCAGAGGAGGAGUCUAUGACAAGGCUCAAUUCACAUUAUAGAUGUCACUGCUGUAUAUAUUGGUAAAAAUGUCCCCCCAAGGCCAUGUGGUGAUAGUGUUAAAUAAAUGUGAAAUAAUG